rnacentral:rRNA from 1 species
GACGGAAGGUGCAAGCGUUGCUCGGAAUCACUGGGCGUAAAGGGUGCGUAGGCGGCGCGGUAAGUCGGGUGUGAAAUCUCGGGGCUUAACUCCGAAACUGCAUUCGAUACUGCCGUGCUUGAGGACUGGAGAGGAGACUGGAAUUUACGGUGUAGCGGUGAAAUGCGUAGAUAUCGUAAGGAAGACCAGUGGCGAAGGCGGGUCUCUGGACAGUUCCUGACGCUGAGGCACGAAGGUCAGGGGAGCAAACGGG